rnacentral:rRNA from 1 species
UACGUAGGGACCAAGCGUUGUUCGGAAUCACUGGGCGUAAAGCGCGUGUAGGCGGCCCAUUAAGUCUGAUGUGAAAGCCCGGGGCUCACCCCCGGAAGUGCAUUGGAAACUGAUGGACUCGAGUCCCGGAGAGGAGAGUGGAAUUCCUGGUGUAGCGGUGAAAUGCGUAGAUAUCAGGAGGAACACCGGUGGCGAAGGCGGCUCUCUGGACGGUGACUGACGCUGAGACGCGAAAGCGUGGGGAGCAAACAGG